rnacentral:rRNA from 1 species
GGGCCCGCACAAGCGGUGGAGCAUGUGGUUUAAUUCGAUGAUACGCGAGGAACCUUACCAGGGCUUAAAUGUAGGUUGCAUGAUCUAGAGAUAGAUCUUUCUUCGGACUACCUACAAGGUGCUGCAUGGUUGUCGUCAGCUCGUGCCGUGAGGUGUCAGGUUAAGUCCUAUAACGAGCGCAACCCCCUGUCGUUAGUUACCAGCAAUUAAAGUUGGGUACUCUAGCGAGACUGCCGGUGCAAACCGUGAGGAAGGUGGGAUGACGUCAAAUCAUCACGGCCCUUACGUCCUGGGCUACACACGUGCUACAAUGGCCGGUACAGAGAGCAGCCACUAUGCGAAUAGGAGCUAAUCUUUAAAACCGAUCUC